rnacentral:rRNA from 1 species
AUGGAUGAUAAGAGUUUCCUGGUUGCUUGUGUUAAUCUUGAGGAUGCACUUAAGAGUGGAGAACACAAAGACAUUGAUGGAGCUAAAUUGUUUUACGAGUUAAUUUUCAUCCAGGAUUUAGUUAAGAAAUCCAUGGGCCCCGUUGAUAUUCUUGAGAUUCUGAUGAAGCGCCCCUUCUAUCCUAAUGCUAUUAUUGCAUACAGGAUUUCGUUAAUCAUUCAUGUAACUGUUGCAACUGCGGAAAAGAGCUUCUCUAAACUCAAGUUGUUGAAAUCAUAUUUGCGUUCAACUAUGACACAAGAAAGACUCAAUGGUUUGGCGACAAUAGCACUUGAAAAUGAUGUCUUGGAGAAGAUUAAUUAUGAAGAUGUAAUUGAAGAUUUCAUUUCAAGGAACACAAGAGGGAUGACACUUUUCAAUAGAGAAUGA